rnacentral:lncRNA from 1 species
UAUUUAAACCCAUUUAUUUUUUCUACUCAAGAUAAAAACCUUCAGACUUAAUGGGCAGGUUGUAUUCGAAUUUCAUUGGGUAUUUAUAAUUUUCAUAAUGUUAAUUUAUAAGUUCAUAAUUUCUAUGCUGGCCUCAUUUUUUAUUGUGAAUUGACCUUUGCUUCUACUGUAACCCACUUGUGCUAUGGGCUUAAUAAUACUGUGACAAUUAUUUUUGUGUUUGUGACCCAUUUUUCUGGUAUGUGACCUGAAUUGUGUUUGUUCUAUUUGAAAUAUUAUUAUCAAUGUUUGUGAUUUGAGUGCCUAUACAAGGAUUUGUGACCUGUGUGUUGGUGACCUAUUUGGAAUAGUGUUAUCCGUGUUUGUGACCUAAAUAUAUCUACCGAUAUCUGAUAUUGAUGUAUGUGAAUUAUUUCAUAAUCUUUGUAGGAAAGAUAGUACACUAACCCUGAUAACCUUUGAUUUUCGCAAAAAAAAUUAUAACUAAUGCGACAAAGAAUGUUUUGACAUAUUUUACAUCGAAAUUCAAUGAGAAACAAAUGGAGAUUCUAGUUGAUUUCAUUUGAUGCCCGUGACAUUAGGAUGAACAUAGCUUCUUUGCUGUUUAAACAACAACAGAUUAAGCAAACCACAAAGCGAAGGAAGAAGAAGGGAAAUAAAUUAUUGAUGUAUUCAUUUUUUUCAAAAUUUAUUAGCUUGACAGAUAUGUAGUUAAUGUAAAUGUUUUAAAAAUGUUCAUUUUGUUGAACAUCAGUUUCUUUAUGGACGAAACAUUCAAUACAUAUGAUUAUGGAUUUGUUUUGUUUGGAUCAAUAUAGAUGAGCAAGUUUUUUCAUGCUACUAGUAAAAUUUUGGAUGCGUGAGGCUAUUGUCAUUUUAAACAGGUCAUUAGUUUUCUCAUUUGUG